rnacentral:lncRNA from 1 species
UGUGCACCACCCUCUCACCCAAACGAAGGCAGCUGGCCCUGAAGUUCUCUGAGCUUGAGGACAAAAAAAGACCUCUGUGAGUUGUCAGGCUCUGUUACAGUCUGGGUCAGCAGACAAGAGUCCCAGGGCUCGGCCGUCUUCUCUAGGAGAGAAAAUAUUCGUGCCAUAUAGCGUGUUCUAAGAGUUCUCACCAGAAGCCCAGAAAGUUCUGUAUUUACUCAGCAUUCAAGGGAAAACAGACCCUGUAUUUUUGGGAUUCCUGAAAGGUGACCAGGUGAGAGCAAAGCCCAACUUCCUGGGGAAAAGCUCUCAGCGCAGUGAAUGCUACAUUCGGAGGUAGGAAGGCUCUGGAUGUGAGUCUUCAUGUUUGUUUUUUGUUUUUUGUUUUUUUUUCUCUAAAAUUACCAAAAAAGAGGAAUAUCCACAGAAGCAGAAGUAGGAAUGGGGAAGGAGGGGACAAGUUUAGACCAAGCUCUUCUGUGACCUCACUUCUGCUUUUGAAGUCCCACAGCUCUAUAAGAUGGAAACGAACAUCAUGCGCCUCUCAGCAGGAUGCGCUGAGGAAGACAGGACUUGUGUAGCCUUCUGUAGAAGUGCAUAAUCUGAACGGGAUCACAAGGAGCAAAAUCAGACAUGCCCAGAUGAGGGGCAUCUACACACUCUGCAUUCUUCAAAAAUGGCUCAGCGCGAAGGACAAAGCAAGGCUGAGGAGCUAUUCCAGAUUAAAGGAGACUCAUGUGACCUGGCAACUGCACGCAACAUGUGAUUCUGGGUUGGAUCCCAGAACAGGGAAGAACAAUUCUUUAAAAGGCAUUAUAAUGGAGUCAGUUGGGGAAAUUUGAGUUGGAUUGUGUAUUUAAUCAUGGUAUUGUAUUAGUGGUACAUUUCAUGAAUAUGAUCAUUUUACUGUGGUUACAUGAGUGAACCUCCUUGUUCUUAGAGGUAAAGGGUCAAAAUACCCAUAACUUAACCCUUAAAUAGGUUAGCAAAAAUGAUAACUAUAAUGAUGGUAUAUAGAGAGUAAGAGAAAGAAAAAAGAGAGGGAGAUAAAGCAAACGUGGCAAAAUAUUAACAAUCAGUGAAUCCAAAGAGUAUAUGGAGUUCAUUGUAUUAUUCUUGCAACUUUUCUGUAAGGUUAAAAUUCUUUCAAAAUAAGUUUUUAAAAAAUGUUCAUGUUAAAGUCAGGGGUAAAACCAUGGAGACAGGUGUAGCGUAAUAAAAGCAACGGCUAACACACACAGUGCUUUGCAAUGUGCCAGGCAGUUUAUACGUAUUACAUUGUGUAAUCAUCAAAGCCACCCUAUCGGGUAGGUAUUAUUAUUGUCAUCCCCAUUUUACAGAUGGGGAAACUUUGGCUCCAAGAAGCUGAAUAUCUUAAAUCAGCAAGGUCUUAUAGCCAGUAAGUGGAAGAG